UACGUAGGGUGCGAGCGUUGUCCGGAUUUAUUGGGUUUAAAGGGUGCGUAGGCGGCCCUAUAAGUCAGUGGUGAAAUAUCGCAGCUUAACUGUGAGGGUGCCAUUGAUACUGUAGGGCUUGAGUGAAUUUGAGGUAGGCGGAAUUGACGGUGUAGCGGUGAAAUGCUUAGAUAUCGUCAAGAACACCGAUAGUGAAGACAGCUUACCAAGCUUCAACUGACGCUGAGGCACGAAAGUGUGGGGAUCAAACAGG
rnacentral:rRNA from 1 species